rnacentral:tRNA from 1 species
GCCUGGGUGGCUUAGUUGGUUAAGCAUCUGACUUUAGCUCAGGUUGUGAUCUCAUAGUUUGGCUUUGAGCCCCACAUCAGGCU